UCUGGCUGACAUCUGGCUGACUCACCAGGAAGAACAGGCAGAACUUUCUUGCUGCUGUUUCAGAAUCCUUACCCAGCCCGCUCAGGGCACCUAGGCCUGCAGGGCUUCUCCCCCGCCAGAGCAGAUGCAGGCACUGUCCCGGAGACAGGUCUAGGACCAGAAUGCCAUACACAGCGGGAUUACAGGAUCGCACGGCAGCAAGACAGACUGACUGAGGCAGGGCCCUACCUGGAAGGCUGUGAGAUGUUCAGAAGGGCAAGAAGCAUAAGGACGGGAGUGCUGAUAAACCUGGGAAGCUUCAAGUCCUGCACCUACUCACGUCCGUCAGUACCCAGCUCUUCCUGGAGACUACAUCCCCGGACUCGUCGGCCUGGCCAUGAACUUAGGCAAUGGAAAUGUGCAGCAGGGCCAUGGACCCGUGUAAAUACCAUUUACUUCAGGGCAUCAAUAAAUGCAGAUGGAAGAUGUG